GGGAGUUUGAUAGGCUUUAUCUUUUCUUUGACAUCUACGUGUACGUAUAUGUAAACAUGUAUAUACAACACAAAGAAAAUCAUUUCAAAACCGUAAAUUUUAAAAUUUUAUCACCAAUAUGUAAAGUAUUAAUCUAACUAUGGCAAUGGCCAUGAACUCUUCAAUUUCGUCAAGUACUCAAGCGAAGCUCAACUCUCAUACGUUUGACUUUUAAAAUUUGUUUUUGUAUUAUGUAGUUUUAAAUAUAAAUUUUUUCUUUUUUACUAACGUAAUAUUUAAAGUUGAUGGGAUCACCCACCAAUAGAUAUACAAAAACUGUUUUUUAGGUACAUGUUAAACUGUCAUGGAGAAAAUCCAAGUUUACUAUAAACAAGCCGCUCGUGUUGUCUUGCCAUUGAAGAUAUUCAGAAAUUCACAGCUUUGAUUGCAGAUAUGAAGCAAACGAAGAGACGGACGCAGGUAGGCAGAAAAACUUUAAAGGCAAAUCAAAUGGAGGUGAUUAGCGAGGAGCAACAACGUGAGCAAGAGCAAAGUUCAUAUGGAACCUUGUCAAUCAAACAGAAGCAAGGUACUAAGUGUUUGUGCAGUCGCUUGAUUGGUGAAUUGCAGAUUGCUUGGUGGUAGAAGGCUUCUGUUGUAGUCCAUGAGAAAAAGGGUUUUAAGGUUUUCUGUUGUAGUCCAUGAGAAAAAGGGUUUUAAGGUUUUCUUGGGUUGUUAGUCAAGAGUUUGUGCUAGAAGUUAGGUGUUUUUGUUUUAAGUUGAUUGUUUUUGGAUAUAAUGGCAUGGUUUAGAAUUUCUUGAGUUGUGAUCUUUGCGUAAUCUGAGAAGUUUUUUAAAAGUUGGAAAGGUCAGUUCUUUGAGGGUUCUAAUAGCUAAUGUGGAGUCACCAAUUUUUUUUUGGAGGGGUCGAAUCCUGUUGUAAUUCUGCUGCUAUCUUUCUUUAUAGUUUGAUUGAUAUGCCAUUACAAGUUUUUUAUUUUUAA